rnacentral:rRNA from 1 species
GCGCGAAAACACUUCGGUGUGAGUAAAGCGGCGGACGGGUGAGUAACGCGUAGGAAUCUACCUAGUAGUGGGGGACAACUCGGGGAAACUCGAGCUAAUACCGCAUACGCCCUACGGGGGAAAGCGGGGGACCUUCGGGCCUCGUGCUAUUAGAUGAGCCUGCGUUGGAUUAGCUAGUUGGUGGGGUAAUGGCCUACCAAGGCGACGAUCCAUAGCUGGUCUGAGAGGAUGAUCAGCCACACCGGGACUGAGACACGGCCCGGACUCCUACGGGAGGCAGCAGUGGGGAAUAUUGCGCAAUGGGCGAAAGCCUGACGCAGCCAUGCCGCGUGUGUGAAGAAGGCCUUCGGGUUGUAAAGCACUUUCAAUUGGGAGGAAAGGUUCACGACUAAUACUCGUGAGCUGUGACGUUACCUUUAGAAGAAGCACCGGCUAACUCCGUGCCAGCAGCCGCGGUAAUACGGAGGGUGCGAGCGUUAAUCGGAAUUACUGGGCGUAAAGCGCGCGUAGGUGGUCUGUUAAGUCGGAUGUGAAAGCCCCGGGCUCAACCUGGGAACUGCACCCGAUACUGGCAGACUAGAGUGCGGGAGAGGGAGGUAGAAUUCCACGUGUAGCGGUGAAAUGCGUAGAUAUGUGGAGGAAUACCAGUG